UAGGGAGGGGGGUCGGUAGGAGCCGGGACAGGUGGGCACCUGGGAGUAAGGGAUAAUGAGGUGGCGGUGCAGUAUUGAUUACGGAACCGCGCAGAAUUUUGGGAGUAAAGGAGUUCAGUUUAGGAUACGUGGAUUUGGGGAUUUCUGGGACUUUUGAAUAUGGAGGGGGGGAGCAAAUGCAGAGAAAAUAGGAAAUUCGUGGGAGCUGAGGAGAGAUGUGGAUGGAAGCUCAGAAGACACGCGCAAUAGGUGGGUGCGACCUGGAGAAAGACCCCGGGAAGGAGACCGAGAAGUCGUCUGAUGUGAAGAAUCGGGGGCAGAAGAGACUAUUUAAUGAGAACAACUGCUGAAAGAGUUAAGUAUCCUAAUUUCCCGUUUUCGGCUUCCAUGCUAUAGGAAGGCUUUUCCCAAGCAAGAAAGCUCAUAGAUAUUUUGGGAGUACAGGCUGGUGUAGCGUGGGCUAUAUCCAAGGUUGAAUUGACCAGACCCGGAUAGAUGGAGGGGGUGAGGGGAAGAAGAUUGGACUUGGGUACCGGGAGGAUGAUGGUGCCUUGUUUAUUAAUGAAGGGGCACAAGGUGGGGCUUGGGAAGGAAGGCAAGGCGUCCACUUUUUUGGACUUUUGGAAUUUGAGAUGUCUAUGGGACAUCCAGUAUCUUGCUCAAAAGGUAGUGGGUGGGAGAUUAGGAGCUCCGCAGGGAAACUAAGGGUUUAAGGAUUAGAGGGGGAGGGGGGAAGAAAUAUUCUGUAUAUAAAUAAUUAGGUCUUUGGGAGCAGAUGAAGUCAUUAAAUGUCUGAUUUGAAGAAUGCAUGGCGUGUUACCUGGACAAAGAUGUGAGGAGCAAAUGAGAAGGACCAGGAGGCAUAAGUGCCAUGGGUGCUUUCCAGAAAAAAAUACUGAAGGCAUAGAUUCUGUGGAAUUCACAAAGUUUCACUGAACCGCAGUGACAAAAAAGUGAAGAGCCUUUGUACUAGAGGAUUUCCUCAGAACUCACUUUACUUUGAAGAAACCUGAAGAAUUGUAUGGAAUGGGAUUGAAAACUGUUAUUAGCUCUCAAACUCAUCCAUAGAAAAGGACAAUUGCAGAAGAAUGAAAAGUGAUUAGCACUCCAUAUGUAUAUGGAAUAUAUAUAAUAAUUAAUAAUUGAUCAUGGUGGAGGAUGGAAUGCAACUUAUCUCCAGCAUAAUAGAGGCACUGCUCAUCUCUGAUAAAAAGGCACAGUCAGAUCAACACUGUUGAAUAACUUGGUUGUCUAGUCUGAUCUGCCAAAGAAAAAAGCAGGACAAAAGGAGGAAGAAAUGCCAAGAAAGGCCAUGACAUGGCAGGGAACAUGGUGCAGCCAAAGUGGGGGAAAAAGACCACUCCCCAUGAGAAGAUGCAAGGUGAUGGAAGCCUCAUUCAUUUUCCUUGGAACUACUACACUCUGAAGAUGAGGGUCUGGCUACAUAAAUGUUACUUCAGUUUGGCACAGACUGGCUGGUGCCUGUUUAUUUCCCAAGAACACAGGGAGUUUGGGGUGCAACAAUAAAUUAUGUCAACUAGGGGGAAGCUUCAUCCGUGAAACAUUUGGGGCUUCUUAUAUGCUCUGGGUCCAGUGCGCCAGGAAAAUAUGGCAACUGAAAAAGACAAAUUCAGAAGACUCCUUAACUACACACACACACACACACACACACACACACACGUCACCUUCUACAUUUAUUUAUAUUUAUUUCUCAGUUUGCAUUUUCUCCAGUAUUCCUGAUCUAUAUCUUGCAACAGGACCCAGGAGAGAAAGUGAAGGUGGUGAUUUUGCACAGUCCUCCCUCACUGAAAUUCAACUUACUCACAUGUCACAGGUCACUUUCCUAAUCAGUACUCUUCCAGAACAAAGGACAAACAAUAACAAUUUCCCUAUUACAUUUUAAUUUGGUUUGAGCUGCAUUUAGGAAUGUAUGUUUGAUACCGCUACACUUAUGGAGCAAAUAUGGAGCUUAAUUAAUAUGUAUGUGCUCUUAAAGGAAAAAAAAAGUGCAACUCUGCAUAUAAUGGUAUUAGCCCACUUAGAACCCAGGAUACCUUUGAUAGUUUUUCCCUCAACAACAAGACAGUAGAAAAAACAAGUGAUUUGUCUCUUAAACUGAUCAAGAAACAAGGCUUUCAUUUUUGCUUCCAAUCGAUAUCUUCAAUGUGAGCAAAAAUAAAAUCCUAGGAUUAAGGGCAACCAAAUGGUACAGUGAAUAGAGCAGUGGCCCUCAAGUCAGGAGGAC